rnacentral:rRNA from 1 species
UACGUAGGGUGCAAGCGUUAAUCGGAAUUACUGGGCGUAAAGCGUGCGCAGGCGGUUAUGCAAGACAGAGGUGAAAUCCCCGGGCUCAACCUGGGAACUGCCUUUGUGACUGCAUAGCUAGAGUACGGUAGAGAGGGAUGGAAUUCCGCGUGUAGCAGUGAAAUGCGUAGAUAUGCGGAGGAACACCGAUGGCGAAGGCAAUCCCCUGGACCUGUACUGACGCUGAGGAGCGAAAGCGUGGGGAGCGAACAGG